UGGGAAGACAUUCCUUCCUCACUCGAUCCGAUAUCAGGCUCAUCCUGGCUUUGGAUGUUUUUUGGGUAAAUUAGUGAGUCAGUCAGCAACUCUUGUUCACUGGUAUCAUCACCCAGUAGUGUUGUGCCUCCUAGCUGGUCAUGCCUGUUGACUGACACCUGUUGGAGGGCCGCUGGUGCCCCUCUCCAACACUGUCCUUGGCCCCAGGUGUGUUGGCACUGCCUUCAACACCCCCACCACCACACAUCACCACCACACACACCUCAACCUUAUCCCAUAGCCACUGUUUACCCUUGAAAGUUACUCCUCUUCCCUUUCAAAGCCUCUAUAGACCCUUGAAAGUUACCUGAUAUCCCUCUUAAAGCCCAGCACUUGCAUUACUUUUGUUUUCUUUCUUUCCAAAACAACUCCAUUCCCUUGAAAAUUACCUUCUUCCCUCCCAAAGCAUCUCUAGACCCUUGAUAAUCACCCUUGCCCCUCCCAAACAAACUCCCCUCCUCUGAGUCAGUCUCAAAGCAAGGCCCUUUUAAUCAUUAUCCAAGUUCCAGUGUCUAUAAACUCUUACCCUAUUGACAUAACAAAGCAAACACCCAUACUGCACCCACCUGAAUUUGUUUUAAAGUUACCCUAAGGUUUUCUUUGGUGCGCAUUGGCUAACAAGGGAAACCUCUCAGGACUGCAGGGAGUGUGUGUGUAUGUGUGAGCAUGUGGAUAAAAGCCGUGUAUAUUAAAGUUAUCAUGUGAGCCGUUAUACCUUUUGAAUGGCUACCUUGCUCCAGAGUUCUUGAGUGAUAAGAGCAGUGCUUGGGUUGCCAGCUAACUUUGCUUCAUGGGAGUAACUCAUCUGUCAUAGUCAUGUGUCACAGCAGCCACUCAAAAUGUAAUUGGCCUGUGCUACUAACUAUCAUGAGAGUGGGACCAGAGACUCCAUAUUUUGUGGAGGCCCAUCAAAUUAGAAUCUUUAAAAUUUGAACAUCAGUAGUCAUUGUGGUGUGAGGCCCCUUCAGCGUGUCCCCCAAACCAUAUCCCUGGUAAAGCUCCCCAGCAUAGGAGUUCCUCUCACACCCUGCUAGAUGCUGCACAAUCUGUUACAAUGAGACAGACAGAUGAAGAAUGAAUAUGAAGGAGAAAGGGGAAUAAAAUAGGGAAGAGGAAGAGAAGAAUUAAAGAGAAAGAGAUUGGAACGAAAGAAGGAGAAGAGAGACCACACUCCCCCCACUUCUUUUCACUCUUUCUUCCUUUUCUUUUCCUUCUCCUCUUCUGAAGAACCACAAGCAGCACUUAAUUGGCUUCAUUGUUUUUUGCCUCAUGUUUUUGUUGCCCUUGAGCUGUUUCCUUUGAAGUAAGAAAAAAGUAAAAAAAAAAGUAAGACCUUUGAUUAGCAGACUUCAUGUUUUUAUAUGUUUUUGUCCUUGAGCUUCUUAAUAGGGCUUUUUUUUUUUUUCAUCUCGUUUUUGGCCUUGAGUUGCUUCCUUUAAAGUAAGAAAAAAGUAGAAAUAAAAGUAAGAUCAUUGCUUAGCCGGCUUUUUUGUUUUCAUCUACUUUUUCCCUUGAGCUGCUUCCUUUACUGUAAAAAAAAAAAUAGGUAGGUACUCUUACUGGCCUCUUUUGCUCUUGUUUUCUUUUAAGUAAGAAGUAAUAGUAGGAGAUGUGUUUAGUGGGCUUUUUUGUCUUUGUUUGUUUUGCCCUUGAGCUGCUUCCUUUACUGUAAAAAAAAAAAAAAAAAAAAAAAUAGGUACACUUAACUGGCCUUUUUUGUUUUUUUCUCUUGUUUUCCUUUAAAGUAAGAAGUAAAGUAGGAGUGGUGUUUAGUGGGCCUUUUUGUCUUUGUUUAUUUUGCCCUUGAGCUGCUUCCUUUACUGUAAAAAUAUAGAUAAGAGUGAUGGUGUGGUGAGUGGUGUGUGUGUGGCGAGGGCUGUGAGUGGCACCAUCCGUCCUCGUGGCCAGGUGUCAACAGGUGUGAGGCUAGGCGUGACAACCGUGCUCUCCCAGGUCCCUGCACUCGGCCUGGGAGCCAUCAUCCUUACCACUUAACCUGUAGCCUGGGACUGCUAAAUUUCCUCGUCACCCCCCAUGGAUGCCCACUAAUUAACGAAGCAUGUAUUUAUAACUACUCUCUGGUAUGCUAAUAACUCCGGUACCCACCCACCUGCCUUCUUUACCUGGACCCUUGGUAUGUGUAAGGAAACAAGGCGGUCUUUCUGUGCCCCUUCCCGCUAAUCUGCAGGUCUCAAGUAGGUCUUCCCAGCUCACCACACCCAGGGAGGAACACAGGAACACAUCUUGCAGUCAGGAAGCACCCACACACACAGGCCCUUCUCAUCCUUACAAUCAUUGCUCUCUGUCACUCUCUAUCUUAUUCUCCUAGCAGGUCUCAAGUAGGUCUUCCCAGCUCACCACACCCAGGAAGGAACAGAGGAACACAUCUUGCAGCCAGGAAGCACCCACACACAGACCCUUCUCAUCCCUACAAUCAUUGCUCUCUCUGUCACUCUGUCUUAUUCUCCCAGCAGGUCUCAAGUAGGUCUUUCUAGCUCACCACACCCAGGAAGGAACAGAGGAACACAUCCUGCAGCCAGGAAGCACCCACACACAGGCCCUUCUCAUCCCUACAAUCAUUGCUCUCUCUGUCAUUCUCUGUCUUAUUCUCCUAGCAAGUCUCAAGUAGGUCUUCCCAGCUCACCACACCCAGGAAGGAACAGAGGAACACAUCUUGCAGUCAGGAAGCACCCACACAGGCCCUUCUCAUCCCUACACUCACUACUCUCUUUGUCACUCUCUGUCUCAUUCUCCCAGCAGGUCUGAAGGAGGUCUUUCCAGCUCACCACAACAUAUGCCUCCAUGGUGAAGUGGUCAGCAUGCCUAGCUACAAAUCCACAAGCCUGGGUUCAAAUCCUGAGCUUGUGAUACAUUGAGUUAAAUGUGAAAACCCAACACUUAUAAAUUUCUAUGUCCUAAAAAUCGAGUUGAAAAGUCAGACUACCCUUUUUCUUCUAACUUCUUUUUCUUCUUUUUCAUGUAUAGUCCAUCUUCUCACAUUCUUGGGGUCGAACUUGUGAUGAUCAUCCUCCAUCUUGCUCUGUGCAGUGCUAAUCCCUCUAUAUCCAACACAUCCAAGUCUUGUUGUGUCACAUAUCCUCUUCAUGUUCCCCUUGGUCUUCCAUCUGGUUGCCUUUCAAUUACCUCCAUUCUUCAUUUAUAUUACAUCU